AGGAAAAUACCGUGAUCUACUUCAAGCCCCCGGGCUUAGGCUCGGUGGCUCUCUGCCGUCUACCUAUUGAUCUCUGGGCUCUGCACUUCAAAUCACCCGCUAGGGGACGUCAAGUGGGCGUGGCCUAGUGGGUGUGGCCGGGGUGCCGUAAUGGCUUCGGCUUCUUCACCUAUCUAAAGGUGCUGCUAUCUGUGGCUGGAGCAGCCUCCAAUAAGGUCUUGCUCCCCUUGUGGCUAUGUGAGGGUAAUACAGCUUCUUAAAAUACUUAAAGGGGGCCUAUUAUGCUUUUCCAUUUUUUCCUUCUCCUAUUGCGCUUUACAUACGUUUUGGGGUAUAUAAAUGGUUGGCAAAGUUACAAUACCAUAAAAUUCCCGCAAGGGGGAGUAAAUGACUACCGCAAAUCACUGUUACCGAGCUACCUAGAAACGGCUCGUUGGGAUUUUCUCCGCGGCUUUCUUUUACUUCCGGUACAUGGUGACGUAAGCAUGUACUUUUGCUGGGAGUCAAUGGGAGAGCAUCAUCAAUGACCUUUUGCUGCGUUCCUGGACACGCUGGGGUCGGGGAAUGGAUCGUAAAACAAGAGUUUGAGUAGAGAAGUAGAUGGACAGAAAGACAUAAUACUAUUUAUAUAUUAUAUAUAUAAUAUUGGCUAGAAGGUGUUUUCUUGGUGGUGAAGGGACCUCUCCCUUGUAUGGUUUGCCAAAGGCAGAGCCUUCACGUAGCCGUUGGCUAGAUUUCAUUUUUAACCCUAUUCCACCGACUUUACCGAGCCUUUUUCUGUGUCGCCUCCACUUCACGGAUGGCUGCUUCAGCAACCUGCGUGAAGAUGACUCUCAACAUGUAAGUAAACCUAUAAUAACAAAAGUGGCUGUGUUGUGUGUAAUAUAAGUUUGGGUAAUUAACCCUACCAUUAAAAUAAUUAAUUCUGUAGCUAGCUGCUAGUCUUGUUGCGAGGCUGGUUAAUCUUCCACAAACCUUUUGCGGGAUCUCAAACUACAAUUCUAAACUGUCUGUAAAAUGAGAGCUAGCCUUAUGUGAGGUGUUACUAUAAGGUGGGUUAAAUGGUCACAGUUCCUGUUUCAGAUGUUGUUAGCUUGUACUGUGUAAAAUCAUUUUUCGUCGUGAUUUAUGUGUGAUAAUUUUAGCAGGACUGCAGUGCCCAUAAUCGCCCCUUUCAACGCGUCGGAUGCCAGACUGACACGCCUCAGAUUAUAUCGACGGGAACCCAAACAAACUCGCCAGUGGGAAUGCAUUCUGUGGGAAUACAAAGUGCACGGUUGAAGUCGACGUUAGGCGGCACACAGUUGUCCAUGGGAUCGCUAAAGGCACACGUAAGAAGCAAAGCCAUGCAGACACAGGUGUCUCCUGUCAGUGCAGACUUCGGAACAACCUCUCUUUUGCCACACUCACUGCUGACUUCAACACCAAUAAAGGGCCCAGGCUGGUGACCUAGCAAGAGACCACGGCUUGAGUUGGAGGAAGAGGAGGAGAGUGACUCCUCAAUGUUGUGCAGUUGUAUCUAGCAUCAAUGCACCACAAUGAAAAUGCAUCACAGGAGCAAGCUACGACUUCUGCAGGGCAGGCGAAGAGUGGGGAAGGUGUUGUGAAGGCCGUGAAAACAGAUCCAACAUUCAACUAUGUACAUGACCUCAUGAGGCUGCUCAUGGAGGUUUUUGAGGACCCAACAUCAUUUGAAGAGGAAAUGAAGACUAUCCCCAUCCCUCCAGACCUUUCAGCGGAAUAUACACACACUCCCAAGGCUGAGCUGGUUGCCCGUCACGUCUCCCGCUUCAAUCAAGAGGUGGUCUGAAGCCUACGAAGUCACCAGAUGGGAACUGCUGCCAUAUCCGCUGCACCACACAUGACGGGAUGACGACCCGACAACUAUGUCCUAAAUAUCCCCAACACCAGCUUACAAAGCUGCGAUAGGCAAGAUGCCUGAAACGCCUAAGGGACAAGGAGCGGAACUUUCUGUUAAACUGUUUUCAACAAUAACCUCUUAUAGGCUGGGCCUAUACUGGGCAGCCCCCACCUCCAAACGAAACCAAAUCUUUUUGAAUGGUCUGACCAUGCUCAACAUAAAGAAAUAGUUGGCUUCGUUAGGAGGUGAGGGUGCACGGUAAGGCCCCGUAGCUCGCGGCCUUAUAGUUUGUUUUUCUUUUAAUGGUAAAUUGAUUCAAAUCACAUAAUAAUAUUAAUAGUAUAAUAUUGCUUUGGUUUUGUUUAGUGGGAGCUUACAGCCAAAAUGACUUACUCUUCAUCUGUUGUGUGCCUCACAGGUCCAUAAUCAUACUUGUAGAUAUUGUAGAUAUUUUGUAGACUGUAUGUGUUUGUGUGCAUGUUGUGUCAUGCAGGUUGUGUCAUGCAGGUUAUUGAUUCUGGCACUUGGCUCAUUCAU